rnacentral:tRNA from 1 species
UGCCGGUCCGCGGUGCGGCGCCGCCCUCGGGUCCCGGCCGUGGAGCCGGACCGUCGGGGCCGGACCGCGGCGGGCCGCCACCGCCGCCGGUGUCC